UGCCAGUGCUAUUUUGAGCUGCUAACGGAGCAGCAUCAAGAGGAGACUCCUCGCUCUGGGCUGCUCCGGGCCAGGCCAUGCGGGCCUCCCGGCCCCAGCACCAGGUCACAGACUUGGGGCCACGCGCGCUGAUGGCCAGGCAGUUGGAAGAGGCCCUCCGGCAGGUCUGGCCGUUGGAGGAGGAAGCCCACACCUUCUGCAACUUCAGUGGCAGCAGGAGGCCAUCCCAGUGCACCUGCUUCCUCCAGGCUGGCCUGGCCGGCAGUGGCCCUGCCGCUUGGCUGCUUUCUGUUCCGCUCUGGGCGGGGGAGGGCUCUCCCUGGAGGCUGGACCAAAGGGGCCAGGGUGUCUCUGCCAAGCCCUUCUCCCCUUUCUCCUCUGGCAGCCUGGCCUUUAAGGGAAGUCCCUGCAGAGCCGCCAUUCCUCGCAUCUCUGUAUAGAGCUUAUUCUGGCCGUGGAUGGGUGGAGGGUUGGGUCGGGGCGGAGGGGUGGGCCACCUCUGGAAACUCCUGCUUUCUACCCAAACUGUUGCUCUGGCAGGUGAUGUUGAGAAGGACAGUGGUGCAGGUGAACCAAGGGAGGUGGGCAGGGCUUCCUGUCCCCUCCAGGAAGCCUCCGAAGUUCUUGCUGGAGGACAGACCUGGGGCCUCUCAUUGCACGUGUUCCAGAUUAAUGCUGUUUUCGGAAAUGUCUGAACUCUCCAAAGAAGAAACAGGUCGUGGCCUUUAGGAGGACUCCGAGUCCCUGAGAGACCCGCCCCCCAUUCCUUCUCUGAUCCAGGGUGUUGGCUACUUUCGGCAUCAUGGCCUUUUCAUCGAAGUUCGCCUUCUGGGAGCAAAAGGAAAGUUGUAUUUCAGAAUUUUUAUGCCCUUCCUAUGUGCUUGGCAUGGUGUGUGCAGGCAGGAGACGGGCUUGUGUGCACACGAGCUUUGGAAGGCAGCGGCGGGUUGGGCAUGUGUGCAUUUGGGGGCUGGGGAGAGUGGCCGGGGUCCCUGAACAGACUCUUCUGCCUGGAUGGGCUCCCGCGCUGAGUCACGCUCCUCCCCUGGGCUCCACCUCUGGUAAGCUGAGCUGCCUUUUGUCCCCCAGUGCCCCUCCACGUUAACCCCUCCACACCCUUUCCGCCCCACUGCUGCUCUGACUCACCCCUGGGAAUGUGAGCUGCUAUGAAGGGGCCACCGGGAAUGGCUUUGGCUCUGAGGCCUUGGAACUGGGUCCCCCCCGCCAGCCUGAGUCUGGGGGGGCUGUGAUGGGUAGGAGGAGAGAAGCCAAGAGUGGGGAGCCAGGCCAGUUGGCUGCCUGGGUCCGGAGGGUGAUUCAGGCUGUAGACCUGGACGUGCCUCUGUCUUGUGAACAGUCCCCAGCUGGGCAGUGACCUACAGCAGAAAGAACCCUUCGGGCGGGGGAGGGCUCGGGGAGUCAGCCUCAGGCUAAAUCCAGAGCUGAGCUCAGAGCUGGGCCUGGUGUCCCAGCCAAUUCAGGGGGCAGCCAGUGCUUCCCCCAAUGCCUCGCCACAGGGGUAAGACCCUUGGAGUCCCACGCUCAAGCCACUGGAAGGAGGACAGAUUUGGAGCGGGUGGAGGACACGGAGUGGACUUGGAGUCUGGGCCAUCCCUGCGCCUGAGCUAACAGCACCGCGUGCAGUAAUGCGUGUGUCUGGGUGCUGCGUGAACACUUGCCCUCCCUCUAACCUGUGUGCCGGGGGCUGAUGCACGGUGUGAUGAGCGACGGGAGGGGUGGGCUUUUGUGGGGGCAGGAGGCUCAGACCUGGCCUCUCCCACUCCUUUUCCUUUCCUCUCUACCAGCCCCUCCCUGCCUUUUCUCUGCUCCAAUCCCAGUUUCUAAAGUAGUGGAGUCCACUCUGAUGAAUAAUGGCCAUUUCCCCUCUGUUCAUGCCAGUGUGAACUAACUUUGAAGCUUGAGCCCAUUGAAAAUAGCUCUCUGGGCUAUUAGCUUUAGAACUGCAGUAGCCGUCAUGCUGGUCCGUGCCCCAGGCACCACUAAUUAGAGCUCAGACUUAGCCCGGACCCUGAUUACAAAUGGAGCGUCCCCCCAGGUGGAUAAUUAAAAUGAUUCUGGACGAGUUUCUAAGGGUCUUUUCCAUUAGGAAUCAAGGACUCCAUCCUAGGCUCCUACCCACACUGGGCUGGGAAGGAGUCAUGCCGAGGAUGGGGCAGGGCUGGCAGCAGACCCGUCCUUUUCCUGUAGCCCAGGGUGACUGGGAAAGAGGAGAAAUGAAAUCCGUUGGUGCCGCCUCGGCUUUUGGAGGGAAAGAUGCUGGGGAGGGUGUGCAGGGAGAAGGCUGUCCCAGACUUGAGGCCUGGCUCUCUGGGUCUGUUCUGAGCCAGGCUCUGAACUGAAAAACCCAUCUGAGCAGCUGCAUUGUCUGUCCUUUUUCCAGAGGCAUUAUGGUAUCUGCCACUUGCCCCUGACCUUGCUCCCCGCCUCUGACCCGGGCCAGCCAGCUCCCGGGCUGGGCUCAGACCGCAGAGUCCAGGCAUCUUUCCUUCCUCUACUCCCCGCCCCGAACUGUGGGCUUGCCUCCCUCAGCUGUGUGGUUGGUAGAGUUUUGUGGGUCUGAGGUUGGGAACAUAUCUGGCUUCCUGAAUCCCUGCCUCUUCCCCACUUCCUGCCUCCAGCCAGAGCUCAGUAGCCUGGCCGGGCAGGCUCUGUGCGGAGGGAACCCAUCUGGACCUAGACGCAAGCCUGAGCCAGCUUGUGGGGCCACGCAUUCAGCCGACACUGAGCUCUGCUGGCCCAGCAGGCCCCCCACACUGGGUCAUUCCCUCCUCAGUCCCUACGACAGGGGCUCUUGUUCAGCCCACUCCUAGCCUGAUCGGGGAAUGCUCUUGUAGUUUAGCCUGAGUUGAAUUCGCUGGACGUUUCUGUCCACUCUGUAACCAAGGUCAUGACGUUGAACCUCUUUAGACAGCCCAGUGGGCGACAUGGCUUGUCACUGGGGGCAAAGGGUGCCAGGCUUUAGCCCCAUACAGAGACUCUUCAUCCUUGAAGUUGUCACUGGACAACUUUGACUCCAGGAUAGCGAUCCGUUGCCCACGUCCGUAGCCCCAGCCCUGAGCACUCAGGAGCUCUCUUCUCUGCCUGGAUGUUUUUCUCUGUGCUUUUCAUGCUGGGUCUCCCCAGCCUGACCUCAGACGUGCCAGUGACUUCUUUGUCUGCUC